GGCUUCGUGGCGUAAUGGAUUAACGCACCGGACUCCUAUGGGACUUGAGCGAUCCGGAGACUGCGGGUUCGAGUCCCGUCGAAGUCG
rfam:Absidia repens strain NRRL 1336 BCR42scaffold_6, whole genome shotgun sequence.